rnacentral:rRNA from 1 species
UGGGGAAUAUUGGACAAUGGGCGCAAGCCUGAUCCAGCAAUGCCGCGUGGAUGAAGAAGGUCUUCGGAUUGUAAAGUCCUUUCGGCGGGGACGAUGAUGACGGUACCCGCAGAAGAAGCCCCGGCUAACUUCGUGCCAGCAGCCGCGGUAAUACGAAGGGGGCUAGCGUUGCUCGGAAUGACUGGGCGUAAAGGGCGCGUAGGCGGAUGUUUUAGUCAGGCGUGAAAGUCCUGGGCUCAACCUGGGGAUUGCGUUUGAUACGGGGCAUCUAGAGUUGGGAAGAGGGUCGUGGAAUUCCCAGUGUAGAGGUGAAAUUCGUAGAUAUUGGGAAGAACACCGGUGGCGAAGGCGGCGACCUGGUCCUUGACUGACGCUGAGGCGCGAAAGCGUGGGGAGCAAACAG